rnacentral:rRNA from 1 species
GAUGAACGCUGGCGGCGUGCUUAAUACAUGCAAGUCGAGCGAACAGACGAGGAUCUUGCUCCUCUGACGUUAGCGGCGGACGGGUGAGUAACACGUGGAUACCCUACCUAUAAUACUGGGAUAACUUCGGGAAACCGGAGUUAAUCCCGUAUAAUCUAUUGAACCGCAUGGUUCAAUAGUUAGAGUCGGUUUUGCUGUCACUACUCGCUGCAUCCACGCCGCAUGAGCUCGUUGGUAUGGUUAAGGCUUACCAAGGCAACGAUGCGUACCCGACCUGAGUGGCGGGUAGGCCACACUGGAACGGAGACAAGGACCAGGAGCCUAAGGGAGGCAGCAGUCGGGAAUGUUACGCAAUGGGCGAAAGCAUGACCGAGCAACGCCGCGUGAGUGAUGAAGGCAUUCGGAUCGUAAACCUCUGUUAUACGGGAAGAACAGAUGUGGACGUAACUAUGCAGGUCGUGACGGUACCUAAUCAGAAAGCAACGGCUAACUACGUG